UACGUAGGGUCCGAGCGUUGUCCGGAAUUAUUGGGCGUAAAGAGCUUGUAGGCGGUGUGUCGCGUCGGCCGUGAAAACCUGCAGCUUAACUGUGGGCUUGCGGUCGAUACGGGCAUCACUGGAGUUCGGCAGGGGAGACUGGAAUUCCUGGUGUAGCGGUGAAAUGCGCAGAUAUCAGGAGGAACACCGGUGGCGAAGGCGGGUCUCUGGGCCGAUACUGACGCUGAGGAGCGAAAGCGUGGGGAGCGAACAGG
rnacentral:rRNA from 1 species